rnacentral:tRNA from 1 species
GUAAAAUUAGUUUAUUGAAAAUACUAGGUUGUGGGCUUAGAGAAAAAGUUUGUUUAUUUUACU